ACUUUAAUAAUUUAAUCAAAAUAUUGAUCUUGUAAAUCAAAAAUAAGUCCGCUUUUAAAGUA
rnacentral:tRNA from 1 species